CCUACGGGGGGCAGCAGUGAGGAAUAUUGGUCAAUGGGCGCGAGCCUGAACCAGCCAAGUAGCGUGAAGGAUGACUGCUCUACGGGUUGUAAACUUCUUUUAUAAAGGAAUAAAGUGAGGCACGUGUGCCUUUUUGUAUGUACUUUAUGAAUAAUGAUCUGCUAACUCCGUUCCAGGAGCCGCGGUAAUUAGGAGGAUCCGAGGGUUAUCCGGAUUUAUGGGGGUGAAAGGGUGCGUAGGCGGGUUAUCAAGUCAGCGGUAAAAUCGUGGAGUUCAACUCCAUCCAGCCGUUGAAACUGAUGAUCUUGAGUGGGCGAGAAGUAUGCGGAAUGCGUGGUGUAGCGGUGAAAUGCAUAGAUAUCACGCAGAACUCCGAUUGCGAAGGCAGCAUACCGGCGCCCGACUGACGCUGAAGCACGAAAGCGUGGGUAUCGAACAGGAUUAGAUACCCCAGUAGUC
rnacentral:rRNA from 1 species